GAUGAAAAGAUUUUGUCUCCUCUCCAUAGCCUCUCCCCACCCCCUGCAUGGACUGAUGUGUUUCCUCAUGUCCUGUUCCUUUAAAAUAGUAGACUGAAAGGUCUGCUCAUUCAUUCCAGAACAGUGGCUCAGAGAGGCGCUGCUGGUGACCUGGACUCCGAUGGGAAUGGGUUUUACAAAACUGAUUUCCACGCCAGCCAAGGCAGGCACCCACUGGAAAGUGGAAGCUGGGAUUUAACACUAUGAGAAGGAGGGCACUGGCCUCAGACCCACCACCUAGGUUUGGAUCUCAACUCUUCCCUUCACUCCCUAAGGGUACCUGGUCAAAUGUACCUGCAGGGAGAUGCACAGAGCUUAAGCAUCCAGUUGGAUGUAUCACAUCUUGUUAAUCCACACAACAAUCAAGAUAUACAAUAUUUCCACCACUUCAGAAGUUUCCUGCUCCUGUAUAGUCAAUAACCAC